CCUCCUGGCCUGGCUCGGCCCGGCCGCCCCCGCUGCCCCAUCGUGCCCUGGCUCGCAGCUCCAGCUCUGUGUUAGGAUAUUCUCCCAUGGGUCACAGUGACUUUAAAAGGUACCUGUGCUCUCGCCUUUCUAUGUGAAUACAGAUGAGUUGGCCUCCGGUCCGUGGCAUUGCCCCGUGUGGCCUCACGAAAGAGCCCUGAGUUUGAGGUCAGCAGACCUGGAUUCUAGUCAUGGCUUUUCUGACAUUGAAUGACGUUGGGCUGGUGACACCGGAGGCCAGACUGAGUAAUGCCUCACUACAGGCUGGAUUGUCCAUUUGUGCCUGCCCAUCAAGAGGAAAGCCAGAGCACGGCAGAGGAGAACUGGUCUGGGCAGGACAUUCACAAAGAGCAACAGGGAAAGCAUACGCUGAGCCGUCAGAAUGGGAUGUCUUGAUGCUUGUGCUAAACCGACACCGGCGGGGUGAGGAACACACACGUGGUUAAUUCAGGUGGUCAUGAGGAUGGACCAACCUCUCUGAAUAGUUCAAGUCUGCUUUUAAAACGGCCUUCAUGGCUUAUACGCAGUGUGGAGUAAUGCCAUUAUCUACAAGAAUUAUACCUUAAUUUAAAAUUUUGUCUCAAAUAAGCAUUGUAGUCAUUACUUAUAAAUUUGAUACAAAAUUAAAUUUUAAUUUUUGAUGGUAAUUUAAACAUUGGUGCAAGUAGUUUUGAAGAAGGAGCAUGGAGGAAAUUUUUUAUGCAAACUCUUCUUUUCCAGGAAGCAAAAGUCUAAUUUUGGUAAUGAAUCCCAAACACCUAUACCUACAUUCGUACGUAAAUCCUAUAUGAUGUUGUGCCAGGAACUGAUAAUUUUAAGAUUAAGCUUUUGAAAUACAAAUUUACCCACACUUUUUUGGGUUCAAUUUUUUUAUAUAAAAAUUAAGACUUGCAUAAAAAUUUAUUAAUUUGUAAAGAUAUUUUAUGAAAGAAUACUACUUAAAAUAGUAUAAUAUAUAAUCUUGUAUAAUUUAAAAUAUAGUAAU